rnacentral:misc_RNA from 1 species
AACUUUUGACAACGGAUCUCUUGGUUCUGUCAUCGAUGAAGAACGCAGCGAAAUGCGAUAAGUAAUGUGAAUUGCAGAAUUCAGUGAAUCAUCGAAUCUUUGAACGCACAUUGCGCCCAUUAGUAUUCUAGUGGGCAUGCCUGUUCGAGCGUCAUUUCAACCCUUAAGCCUAGCUUAGUGUUGGGAAUCUACUGUAUUGUAGUUCCUGAAAUACAACGGCAGAUCUGUAAUAUCCUCUGAGUGUAGUAAAUUUUUUCUCGCUUUGGUUAGGUGUUGCAGCUCUCAGCCGCUAAACCCCCCAAUUUUAAUGGUUGACCUCGGAUCAGGUAGGAAUACCCGCUGAACUUAAGCAUAUCAAUAAGCGGAGGCU